rnacentral:rRNA from 1 species
CCUACGGGAGGCAGCAGUGAGGAAUAUUGGUCAAUGGACGAAAGUCUGAACCAGCACCGCAGCUUGCAUUCUUCCUUCUCUCUUUUUUUUCCCCUUCUUUUCUCUUUUCCUCCACUCAUCCACGCGUGGCAGUCUGUAUGUACCAUACGAAUAAGGAUCGGCUAACUCCGUGCCAGCAGCCUCGGUAAUACUUAGUAUUCGAGCGUUAUCCGGAUUUAUUGGGUUUAAAGGGGGCGUAGGUGGUUUGUUAAGUUAGUUGUGAAAGGCUGCGGAUCAACCGUGAAAUGGCAGAUGAAACUGGCAGUCUAGAGUACAGUAGAGGUAGGCGGAAUGCGUGGUGUAGAGGUGAAAUGCUUAGAUAUCACGAAGAACACCGAUGGCGAAGGCAGUUCACUGGACUGCAACUGACGCUGAGGCACGAAAGUGUGGGGAGCAAACAGGAUUAGAGAAAAGAGGAGGC